rnacentral:rRNA from 1 species
AUUGAACGCUGGCGGCAUGCCUUACACAUGCAAGUCGAACGGUAACGCGGGGCAACCUGGCGACGAGUGGCGAACGGGUGAGGAAUGUAUCGGAACGUGCCCAAUAGUGGGGGAUAGCCCGGCGAAAGCCGGAUUAAUACCGCAUGAGACCUGAGGGUGAAAGCGGGGGAUCGCAAGACCUCGCGCUGUUGGAGCGGCCGAUAUCAGAUUAGGUAGUUGGUGGGGUAAAGGCCUACCAAGCCUGCGAUCUGUAGCUGGUCUGAGAGGAUGACCAGACACACUGGAACUGGGACACGGUCCAGACUCCUACGGGAGGCAGCAGUGGGGAAUUUUGGACAAUGGGGGAAACCCUGAUCCAGCCAUUCCGCGUGAGUGAAGAAGGCCUUCGGGUUGUAAAGCUCUUUCGGCAGGAACGAAACGGUUUGCCCUAAUACGGCGAGCUAAUGACGGUACCUGAAGAAGAAGCACCGGCUAACUACGUGCCAGCCGCCGCCGUAACAC